GCCCAACAGCUAGCCCACCCAAGCAAUUUCAACAAGCCCUUGUUAAUAACCCCUAAGUACCCCAGUAUUUAAAUUAAACAAACCAUUUUUCCCCCUUAGUAUAGGCGAUAGAAAAGGAACUACUGGCGCUAUAGAGAAAGUACCGCAAGGGAAUGCUGAAAGAGAAGUGAAACAACCCAGUAAAGCCUAAAAAAGCAGAGAUUCAAACUCGUACCUUUUGCAUCAUGAUUUAGCGAGUGUACCCCAAGCAAAGCGUACUUUAGUUUGACGUCCCGAAACUACGUGAGCUACUCCAAGACAGCCUAUUAAUAGGGCGUACCCGUCUCUGUGGCAAAAGAGUGGGGUGAGCUUUGAGUAGAGGUGACAAACCUACCGAACCUAGUUAUAGCUGGUUGUCCAAGAAAUGAAUAGAAGUUCAGCCUCUUGGCUUCUCUUUUCGCCCUAGUCUUACCCCUAUUGAUGCACGAAGAAACCGAGAGAGUUAGUCAAAGGGGGUACAGCCCCUUUGAAUCAAGACACAACUUUACCAGGCGGGU
rnacentral:rRNA from 1 species